rnacentral:lncRNA from 1 species
CUUGAAUGCUGCCUGCAUCCUUCCUUUCUCCCUGAGCUUUUGUACAAGCUGUGUCCUUUGCAAGGGAAUCUCUGCAUAUAGCUACAAAGUCACCCAGGGAAGGACAAGCUCAUGGAGGGCUCUUUCCUGCCCAUUCGCCUCAUUUAAGUGCAGCCAUCCUUCAGGCCCUUGGUUAAGCUUCCAAGGACCCUAUGGGUCAAGGUGAAGCCAUCAGUGUCUACAGCUUCAGCUAUUGCCCGUGUGCAGAUGGUGCUUAAUCUCUCUUGUGCCUUCCAGACCUGCAUUCCAGCCACCUACCAAACCCCUUUCUGUGGAUGCCAAGAAAAGUCUUCAGACCGUGGACAAUGUGCUCUUUGCCCCUAUUAUGGAGAAAGGUGUUCCCUAGGAUGAUGACACAAGGAUUUAAUGAGUAGAAGACAACAACUUAAAACCUCUCAUUUGAGCAUGAAUUGUCUAGGUUAAAGGUAGGCAUUGAGAUCCCAUUAGCUACUGGCACACUUGGGAAAAGAAAUGUACACAUGCACAGACACACUUUAAAGCAAGACUUCAUAAAAAUACAGCGAUGCCUGUUUCUACUCAGACCCAAAAAUGGAAUUAAAGCCAAAACUUACAACCCCUCUACUAAUUAGAGAAGUAAAAAUGUCUUCACCCCAAGUGUCCCAGCACAACGUGAAACCGAAACAAGCUGCCUUUCUUUGGAUUCCACUUAUUUAUUUAUGUUUAAAAGAAUAUUUGAAGAAAAGGACGCCUAGUAAAAGAACAGUUGGAGAAAACAUGGGACACCAUACAUUGGAAGAGAAAUGUAGAUGAAGUACACAGCUACAACAGGGAUAUUUUUUUUCUUGUUGAAACACAUGAUAAUGGGCUAAUAAAAAUCUGGUUACCUUUACAUUUCUUCUCCUCCGUUUGGAAGGUCUGGGCACUUGAGACACUCUGGUCGUUCACAUCAUCAUGGUCCAGAUGGAAUAUUG